rnacentral:tRNA from 1 species
GCGCCUGUAGCUCAGCUUGGAGUGCCAAAAGCACAUGCAAAUAGAGCGAAAGGUUCCUAACCUUUAGGCCCGGGGUUCGAAACCUGGGAAAAUGCGGCGAACUUACCUUCGGUCGUUCGCCUGGGAUUUUGCUGCGCAAAAUCAGAAAAGUUGGCGAAAGUCCUCGCAGGCGCG